rnacentral:rRNA from 1 species
AACGAACGCUGGCGGCGUGUCUUAAGCAUGCAAGUCGAACGGCAGGAGAGGUGCUUGCUUCUGGCCUAGAGUGGCGGACGGGUGAGGAACACGUGGGUACUCUACCCUUAAGAUGGGGAUAGCUGCUAGAAAUAGCAGGUAUUACCCAAUGCACUCAGCAUAGCACACGGGGGGCUGAGGGGAGUAAGCUACUGCUGCGGUUGGGGAGGAGCUUGCGUCUGAUUAGCUAGUUGGUGGGGUAAAGGCGCACCAAGGCGACGAUUAGUAUCCGGCCUGAGAGGACGACCAGCCACACUGGGACUGAGACACGGCCCAGACUCCUACGGGAGGCAGCAGUGAGGAAUUUUCGACAAUGGACGGAAGUCUGAUCGAGCAAUGCCGCGUGGGUGAAGAAGGCCGUCAGGUUGUAAAGCACUUUUGUUCGGAAAGAAAUCCGGUGCCCUAAUACGGUCGGCUGAUGACGGUACCGGAAGAAUAAGCACCGGCUAACUACGUG